rnacentral:misc_RNA from 1 species
AGAAAGAAUGGAAAAAUGGCGUCUUCGUUUGCGUUUUACGUUUGCUUUGUCUAGUAUUGUGAAAGAUUCCGUGCAAUUUUCAGAUAAUUUAGCAUAGGAUAAUUUGUACACGUGUGGUUCAGUGUUCAACUGACAAAUAAGCUUUCCAAUCUAUUACUGUUCGAGCUGGUUAUCAACACACAGGACAUGUCGUGGCGUCGGGACGAGCGAAGUUCAAGGUGGAACGACGAGUCGCGGUGGGGCGACCGCGGGGAGCGCAAGAGGUCGCCCGUGUGGGAGCCGCGCCGCAGCGCCUCCCCGGACAGGCGGGCCUCGCCCAGGGAGCGGCACCGCGACCGCUACGACCGCGACCGGGACCGCCAUGACCGACAUGACCGCCGCGACCGGGCGGACCGCCGCGAUGACCGUGAUCGCGACCGCCGCGAGCGUUACGACCGUCGGGAGCGCCGCCGCUCGCCCAGGAGAGAUGAUGAUAAAGAACGCGACAUCCCUCAGGCGCCGUCGCCGCCUAACAUCAGCGGAGACACUGACAGACCCCCCUCUAGGUCUUCCAGUCGAUCACGGAGCCACGAGCAAGAUCAGGAGAGUUAUGAAGCUAAAUACGAUAUGAAUCAUUUAGACCAAUUUGAUUCGUCUUCAAUCAAUGCUUCCCCAGGGGACUGGUUCUGUAAAUGUGGGUUGUAUAACUUUAAGAGGCGGCAAGUGUGUUAUAGACGGAACUGUAAUGGAAAAAGGUCGGAAGGGAUAGUCUUUGGAGGUGAUUCUGAUAGGGGAUGUGAGGCUUCAGGCAUAACUAAGCGCUUGUUGUUGAGGAGAUUAGAUGCUUUGACUACGGAGGAGAAAGUUUUGGAAGCAUUGAAAGAUAGAUGUUCAAAAGCUGUUAUAGAUUCCAUAGCGGGCAUCACUAUAGGCAGGGAGACUUUGACGGGUGCCUCUAAAUGUCUAGCAUAUGUAAAUUUUAAUUCUAUUGCGGAUUCCAUGGCUGCACAUAAUGAAAUUCAAGCAUUGAGUCCGCCUUUGAAGAUUGACGGGCGCGAAGUAUUAGUUUCGUUUUACAAUGAGCCCAAGAAACCACAGAAACCAAAUGACUACACCGCAUAUUACUCUCAAAUGGGUAAAUACCAGAAUUCACAAGCUUUAUCUGAAGCUGAUCGUGUAAAUGCUGCUGCAGCGGUCGCUCAGUCAGCGAUUUCAGCAGCACAGGCAAGGCAAAUGUCCUGGACACCCGUAUCGGUGCCAACAUUCGUUGCAUCAGCUGUACAAAGUGUCCCUACGGUUAAAGCGCCAACGGGAGAUGGCAAAACACAGUACUCCGCCCCUGAUGUCAGAACAUUCCUUUACGAUGAAACCUCAGGUUACUACUACGACCCAUCAACAGGUCUCUAUUAUGAUGGCACCACACAGUACUUCUAUAACAGCCAGACAUCUCAGUACAUGUACUGGGACGCCUCCACUUCCACUUACAUAGCGGCCACCCAAACACAACAGAAUACUGAACAACCGAAGCUUCCGAAUCCCCCGACGGCUACUGUAGAGAACACUAUUGCUAAAGAACCUGAAGAAAAGAAAAAGAAGGACAAAGAGGAUAAGGUUAAAGUUGCCAAAAAGAUAGCGAAAGAUAUGGAGCGUUGGGCCCGGACUUUGAACCAGAAGAAAGACAAUGCGCGUAGCAACAUUGUCAUGGAGCAACCUUUAGAUACAGGGGCAAGUAAGGGAUCAGCAGAUAUUGGUUUUUCUGUGCUCGGCGCAGGGCCUUCCUUACCUCCUCCUAUACAUGUGAGAGAAAUAUCUCCACCGCCCGCUUCCACAGAUGAGUUCUUGAUGAAGAAAGUUGCUGGUUCAUCAGAGUCGAUGUUUGAAAGCGACGAAGGUAUAAUAGACUGGGCGAAAUUGACCUGCCUUUUGUGUAAACGCAAGUUCCCUUCAGUGGACGUUCUAAAUAAACACAAAACCUUAUCAGACUUACAUAAACAGAAUCUGGCUGAAUAUCGUAAGAAAAAUGACUUGUUGCCGCAGACCAAUGGUUACAGAGACAGGGCCGCGGAACGCAGAAUGAAGUUUGGCGAGGAUGAGCCCCCGCCAAUGAGGAAGAGGUAUGAGCCUCCCGACGUCAUGCACACUUCGAUGCCGCCUGCCCCUCCACCCAACGUAGUAGACACGAUCGGAGGCAAAAUGCUGCAGAAAAUGGGCUGGUCUGAAGGCAGAGGCCUUGGGAAAACCGAGCAAGGGAGAAUAGCCCCGAUAGAGGCAGAACAGAGGCCGAGUUUGGCCGGCCUUGGCCAGAAAAGAGGGAUUUACACACCAACCCCUGGGGAAACUUACCGGGACACUGUGAAGAAACUUAUGAUAGCAAGAUAUAAGGAGGUGGUCGGACAAGAGGAGGGAAAAUAGAUGAGGCGCAGCGUACUUCCAUUCAGCCCCGGGAUAGGACAUCCACACUCGUGAAUCGACGCCAAGGACCGGACUUCGUGCCAAAGUUGUUAGGAAUACCAGUGUGUCCUUAGUGUUGUAGCUAGGUGUUACUGGUUGCGUGGUCACGAUUAUUUAAAUGUUAAAUCCACAGUGCUGACUAGUAAGUGGUCUCGUGGCUAUUGAUAGUAAGGGCCGCUAACUAACAUUUUGAAAAUAUAAAAAGACAGCUUUUGAGCAAAUCCCAAAAGUUAAUUCUGCCUUUUGGAAAAUAACUACAAAUUCAGUUGUUGUCACUGAAAUGGUUAAAUUAGGUAUAUUUAUUAUAGAUAAAAAAUCAAGAAACUAUAUUAAAGAAAUAGUAUAAGAGAAGUGGAAAGUUUUUCAUUACCAUGUGAUCGAGUUGUGUUCGAUUUAAUUGUUUACUAAAAAAGUAAACAGAUUGUUUUUAUUUACAAAAAACAACUUGUCUUAAAAAAAUCUUAAAGAGAAAUUACUGUGCACGAGUAAAAUAACCAAUAAUAAGAAAAAGCAGCAAAUUACUUAUUCGCGCUUAUAAUGUUUUGUUUAGUAAAUAAAUGUUAUAUUAUAUUUAAUUCUAUAUAAAUUAAGCGGUACCUGGGUUCCGGAGCAUAACGCAUGAGAUCGGACCUAACUGUAAAUACAAGCAAUAAUUUAUACAUAAGUUUUUUUUUAAAACAAAUGAUAUUAUACGAAAAGUAUAAUAAAGGUAAUUAAAUUUUAAUCAAGUAAUAUUUGGUUCUUUUAUUCUUUAAAUAAGAACAACUAUUUUUGCAUUUAAAUUAGCAUUAAACAACGAAAUUAUUUAGUUACAUUCGCCUCAUUAUGCCUAAGAAUUAAGUGUAUAAUUACUGAUUAUCUAUUGUUAUACUUACGUCAAGCAAAAUUAUAAACAUGCUUAACGUACUAAAAUCUUUCUUUUUGUUCUAAGUAGGUAUCAAUAUUUUAUAUAUUUUUUAAAUUCCUUUGAUUUAUUUAAUUCGAAAAUAAGGUACCUAAUUAAUUUUUUUUUUAUUGUAAGACAAAAUGAAUUUUGUCGAAAAAAAAAAUAGUUCCAGUAUAUGGUACUAUAACUAUUUUUAUCUACUCUAUAUAUAUGUCAGUACAUACACACAGAACACAGUUGUUCUGUGGUAUAUAUCUUCUUUUUGGCUAACAUAUUUGGUCCAUGCUAAAUGCUAAUACUUAUUUUAUUUAGGCGAAUAGUGCAACCAAUAAAUCAUCAAUAAUAUAAAGAUAUUACACUGAUAAUACCUAUGUAGGCACGCUACCAAUAAAUUAAGUGGUUAGUUAUGUAAAUAAGUUGGUUGUAAAUAUUGUUUUGUAAUUAGAUUUAGGCGGUUUCUAUUCAGCAAUACAGUUUGUUGUUCAUU